rnacentral:rRNA from 1 species
GACGAACGCUGGCGGCGUGCCUAAUACAUGCAAGUAGGACGCAGUUGCGAACGGGUGAGUAACGCGUAGGUAACUACCUAUUAGAGGGGGAUAACUAUUGGAAACGUUAGCGAAUACCGCAUGCUAGUAGCUGGACCUGCGUUGUAUUAGGUAAGAGGUAGGGUUAUGGCCUAACUAGGCAACGAUACAUAGGCGACCGGAAAGGGGGAUCGGCAAAAACGGGACGGAGACACGGCCCAGAGUCCUACGGGAGGCAGCAGUAGGGAAUCUUCGGCAAUGGGGGGAACCCUGACCGAGCAACGCCGCGGGAGUGAAGAAGGUUGUCGGAUCGUAAAGCUCUGUUGGUAAGGAAGCGGUACUUAACCAGAAAGGCACGGCUAACUACGUGCCAGCAGCCGCGGUAAUUC